UGAAAACAAAAACAAAAACAAAAAUAAGACAUGAACUCUAAGAGCUUCAUAAAUCAUGAACUCUUCCUCAAUCAAUUAAUAUUUUGCAUUUAUGAAUCUCAAAAUUGUUAAAUGAGGGAGAGGACUUUCGAAUGACCAUGGUUGCUUGAUUUGAUGAAAGAAUAAAAGUAAGUAAUUGAAUAGCCAUAAAAGUAUCAAAUCAUGAACAUUGGCUUGGUUGUAAA
rnacentral:misc_RNA from 1 species